GAUGAACGCUGGCGGCGUGCCUAAUACAUGCAAGUCGAGCGAACGGACGAGAAGCUUGCUUCUCUGAUGUUAGCGGCGGACGGGUGAGUAACACGUGGAUAACCUACCUAUAAGACUGGGAUAACUUCGGGAAACCGUGGCUAAUACCGGAUAAUAUUUUGAACCGCAUGGUUCAAAAGUGAAAGACGGUCUUGCUGUCACUUAUAGAUGGAUCCGCGCUGCAUUAGCUAGUUGGUAAGGUAACGGCUUACCAAGGCAACGAUGCAUAGCCGACCUGAGAGGGUGAUCGGCCACACUGGAACUGAGACACGGUCCAGACUCCUACGGGAGGCAGCAGUAGGGAAUCUUCCGCAAUGGGCGAAAGCCUGACGGAGCAACGCCGCGUGAGUGAUGAAGGUCUUCGGAUCGUAAAACUCUGUUAUUAGGGAAGAACAUAUGUGUAAGUAACUGUGCACAUUUUGACGGUACCUAAUCAGAAAGCCACGGCUAACUACGUG
rnacentral:rRNA from 1 species